rnacentral:rRNA from 1 species
GUCUACGGCCAUACCACCCUGAACACGCCCGAUCUCGUCUGAUCUCAGAAGCUAAGCAGGGUCGGGCCUGGUUAGUACUUGGAUGGGAGAAACUGCAUAGUACUCCAUUGUGUAUAUAUACC